CACAGAGUAGGAAAUUGAGAGGUUAUUUUACCAAGGGGAUUAAACGCUUCGGGGCUGGUAUUGAAACCUAGGUCUGUCUGGCCACAGAACCCACAUGCUUAACCACGUGACUCUCCUCAACUGCCACCCUCCUUAAAUAGGACUCUUGUGAGGAGUACAUGAAAUCCUAUAGGAAAGCACUGUGCUAAUUGUAUCAUAGCACGCGAAUGUCCACUGAUUAAAUAAAUAGUACCAGGAUGUAUAUUCGUGAGAACACAAAUAUGCCAGUUAUGUCUUUUCAUAUGUCCCUCUAUCUGUACCAGAAAACCCAUUCGUUGGGAGCGUUUAUAACAUUACAUUGAAAAUACGGGCUUUGAUUUAAAUUAUCAUGAAUAUACGCUGAGUGAUGCUAUAAGGGUGGAUGUGUGUCAUUAUGCAUUCGUCCAAAUCCAUAGAAUGGGCAAUAUCAAGACUGAACCCUAAUGUGAACUAUGGACUUUGGGUGAUGAUGAUGUGUCACUGUAGGUUGAUCGGUUGAAAGGAAAGUACCAUUCUGGUGAGGGAUGUUGGUAACCGGGGAGGCUCUGCAUGAGUGGGGAGGGGGGUAUAUGGGAAAUCUCUGUAUAUGGGAGAUCUUACACUCAAUUCGAAUGUGAACCUAAGCUGCUAAAAAACUUGAAAUCUAUUAAAAAAUGUGCUUGAAUUUCAAUUUACCGAUUAUUAGUCUCUGUAAACCUCAGAUUCCUUACCCAUACCCAGAAAACAGUUAUAGUACCUAUUCCAUAGGGUUGUGUUAAUGAUUACAUAGGGCACUUCAUUAAAACAGCUAGUGCAGGUAACCCAUGAGCACUCAGUAGCUGUUAACUAUCGUUGUCAUACUAACUACUUGAGGAUAAAGAAGUUGAUUCAGUGUAUGUAAAGAUUAGUAACCCUGUGGGUAAUGCCCAAAUAGGUUUCCUUGCCCUGUGACUUUUUCUCGUUCCACUUUUCAGAAACAUCAAGGAAAUGCCCCGAGGCCUGAUCCUAGAGAAAAACCAUCUCAGGGUAUAUCCCUUUAUUGCUUUCCUAUGAAGCAAGACCCCAUGUCUUACCGGCAUUCAAGAGGAAAAGGUUCCACAAAGGCACGGAUACCAAGAGAUCGGGUCAUGUGGUUCGUUCUAGCCAAUUGAAUGGGAAAAGAAGUAAUGCACCACAUCUGGUCCAAAUUAGUGAAGCGCAAGUAUACUUUCUCCAUCUGUCAACAGAAGAUACUAGUGUGACCUUGAAGUCCCAAGGUGAAGAUGGUGAAGUUCUAGCAUGAAGGAAGUUUGAAUCCCUAAAUAACUACCUGGAGGACAGUAAACCUAUUGACCUGCAUUGGACAGUCAUGUCAGCAAGAUAUAAAUUUUUAUUGUGUAAAGCCA